UCUUCACCAACCGCAGACCAAAUCAAGACUAUCCCUUGUCCCAAGCAUUUUCUACAAAAAGGGUUUGGUGGCUACUCUAGUGACGAAUAUUUCCUUUUCUACCAUGGAGCAUGUGGAGCAGAGAGAUGCUUCCAUUUGAUCUUUUAGGAUCAUCACGUGCACCCAACUUCCGUGUGCCCCUGUUCUCCUGUAAACCAGAUAGACACCGUUAACAUUUAACAUCAUGGGUUUUUCUAUUGAAGCGACAGCAUUCAGUUUCAUGAAGACAUAUGUACUGCACAGAUAACUGAUCCAAAAUUUAAUUAAAAAAAAAUUGUCUAGUACCUUUGAUUUCUCGGAUUCGUCAAAAAGAUCAAAGGUGCUCAAGUUUCUUGAUAAAAUGGAUGAGGAAGGCAUAAGUGUCCUGAUUUCAACAUAUCACACGUAAAAACCGUAACUUUAGAUGAGACAUCUUUGGGCAAUGAAGGAUCCAAAAUACCAUCUUUUGUUGACAGCGAAGAAUCUAACAAUUCCUGAAAGGUGAAUUAACAAGAUGAAAGAGGAAAGCAGAAACAAACUUCCGUUGCACGUUUUAUCACAGCUUGUGCUAUCAAGGAUUCUGCCUGUUCAGCAUUAGAGAUGAGAACCUGUUUACAUAAAUACAGGAAGUGAACAUAAAAUACCAACAGCAUCAUAAAAGUCCAGUGAAAUAAACAGAUCUAGCAUUAAACCUCUUUCUGGCCUUUUAUGGUGGAUUGCUGCAUACUUAGUUCACUGCCAUCUGGUAAUAAAUCAAACAGUUUUUCUGAUUUUCCUCGUUCAGUAUAUAUCUCGAAUAUAGCUAUGUAAUAGGAUCUGUGAGACGUACCAAGGGAUGAAAUUGACAUUUCAUUCAGUUAAACAACAUAAAUAAAUGAUUAAACACAGCAGCAAAUGUCACUAUGCUGUCAUGUUCGUGUCAUUACUGAGAACAGAUAAACAUAUAAAAAUCACUUGAGUUACAUUUUCUCCAUGUACGAUGCUUCCUAAACUUCAAGU